rnacentral:rRNA from 1 species
CAUAAUCAUUAGUCUUUUAAUUGAAGGCUGGAAUGAAUGGUUGGAUGAAAUAUUAACUGUUUCAUUUAAAUUUGUUAUAGAAUUUUAUUUUUUAGUUAAAAAGCUAAAAUUUUAUUAAAAGACGAGAAGACCCUAUAAAUCUUUAUAUUUUAUUUAUAUUAAUUAUAUAGAUUUAUUUAAUUAUUAUAAAAAAAAAUAUUUUAUUGGGGUGAUAUUAAAAUUUAAAAAACUUUUAAUUUUAAAUUUACAUAAAUUAAUGAAUUAAUGAUCCAUUAUUAGUGAUUAAAAAUUUAAGUUACUUUAGGGAUAACAGCGUAAUUUUUUUGGAGAGUUCAUAUCGAUAAAAAAGAU